rnacentral:misc_RNA from 1 species
AGGUGAACCUGCGGAAGGAUCAUUAGUGAUUUUGAAUCGUUGGCCGACUGUGCUGGCUCUUUGCCGGGCAUGUGCACGCCGGGCGACGUUCACUCCAACACCCCUGUGAACCAUUCGACCCCUUGUGCUUUGCUUCGGCGGGCACUUGGGAUUUUUCUACACACACUCGCAUGUAAUGAAACGUCUAUUUGUGCGCAAGCACUAAUGUACAACUUUCAACAACGGAUCUCUUGGCUCUCG